AGCAGGAUAGCUCAGUUGGUAGAGCGCUGCCUUCAUGCGGCGGAUGCCGGGAGUUCGAGUCUCCCUCCUGCUA
rnacentral:tRNA from 1 species